rnacentral:sRNA from 1 species
UGUGCUGGAGACGCCGGGUGCCUGGUGACACGGAACCGUCGGCUGGCACGCUGCGCCCCCACGUGGAAGCUUGCAACGACUGUGUUCUGGGCAAGGACCUCCUGAGGCACCCAUGCUGCAGUUCCCAGAGGCUUAAGGACGGCUGCGGGACAUGUGGGCGUCUGGGUUGAGAUGGAGAAAACAUAGCCUGCUGAAGGGAGAUUGAGGAGAAGAAUCUGGACCAGCAAAGAAAAAGAAUUCCAGUUUUCCUUCCCUCAAGGACAACCUGCCCAUAGACAAGCACCUUGAGACCAAAGCCCAUUAUGGUUGCUGCCAGGCAGCUUGGAGACACAGGAAUGACCUCCAAACAUCCCUGACCUCGGUUUUUGAUACCUUUGUAAAUCAUAUCCCUAAUCUGUCUGCUCCUGAAAUCCCUCUCUCGUUUUUAAAAUGUUUUCCUAAAA